rnacentral:rRNA from 1 species
UACGGAGGGUGCGAGCGUUGUCCGGAAUCACUGGGCGUAAAGGGCGCGUAGGCGGCGCGGGGAGUCAACGGUGAAAGCUCGGCGCUCAACGCCGAGUCGGCCGUCGAUACUCCCGUGCUCGAGCACUGUAGAGGCAGGUGGAAUUCCGGGUGUAGCGGUGGAAUGCGUAGAGAUCCGGAAGAACACCUGUGGCGAAAGCGGCUCACUGGACCACAACUGACGCUGAGGCGCGAAAGCUAGGGGAGCAAACAGG